CUCGUAGGCGGCCAACUAAGUCGGACGUGAAAUCCCUCGGCUUAACCGGGGAACUGCGUCCGAUACUGGAUGGCUUGAGUUUGGGAGAGGGAUGCGGAAUUCCAGGUGUAGCGGUGAAAUGCGUAGAUAUCUGGAGGAACACCGGUGGCGAAGGCGGCAUCCUGGACCAACACUGACGCUGAGGAGCGAAAGCCAGGGGAGCAAACG
rnacentral:rRNA from 1 species